AAAAAGAUAAGCUAAAAAAGCUACUGGGCUCAUACCCCAUCAAUGAAUUUAAUUCUCUUUUUA
rnacentral:tRNA from 1 species